rnacentral:ncRNA from 2 species
AUUGAAUAAUAUCUUAUAGGUUCUUCUUAUAUAAUUAUUUAUAUAAGAAAUUAAAAGGGAAAAAGGUGUAAGACCUUUGCAGCCCCCGCUACUGUAAUGCAGACAAAACCUUGAUUUAACCACUGAGAUGUAUUCUUGGGAAGGUGAGGAAGUAGGAUGAAGCAAAGCCAGAAGACCUGCCGUAAGAUAAUUGUAGAU